AGUGAACGCUGGCGGUAGGCCUAACACAUGCAAGUCGAACGGCAGCACAGUAAGAGCUUGCUCUUACGGGUGGCGAGUGGCGGACGGGUGAGGAAUACAUCGGAAUCUACUUUUUCGUGGGGGAUAACGUAGGGAAACUUACGCUAAUACCGCAUACGACCUACGGGUGAAAGCAGGGGAUCUUCGGACCUUGCGCGAUUGAAUGAGCCGAUGUCGGAUUAGCUAGUUGGCGGGGUAAAGGCCCACCAAGGCGACGAUCCGUAGCUGGUCUGAGAGGAUGAUCAGCCACACUGGAACUGAGACACGGUCCAGACUCCUACGGGAGGCAGCAGUGGGGAAUAUUGGUCAAUGGGCGCAAGCCUGAUCCAGCCAUACCGCGUGGGUGAAGAAGGCCUUCGGGUUGUAAAGCCCUUUUGUUGGGAAAGAAAAGCAGCAGGUUAAUACCCCGCUGUUCUGACGGUACCCAAAGAAUAAGCACCGGCUAACCUCGUG
rnacentral:rRNA from 1 species